rnacentral:lncRNA from 10 species
CAUGCACAUUCUAGGCACCCAAUGUAUGUCUGUUGAAUGGACUGCAUAUCUGAGUUCCCCUCUACACUGUGAGCUCUUAUUUAUCCUUCUUCUUAGCCCCUAGAAUAAUGCCCUAUACAAGGCUGGUGCCCAGUAAAUAUUUGUCAGACGGAUGAAUGAAUUGAUUGUUGGAAGCCAGCCAAGGCCUGGGCAUCCUCAUAGACAAGUAGAUCCAGAUGACAAGUAGCACAGUCCCAAUCUCAGGGAGCUCCGUAGAGAGUUCCAGUCUUCAUGAAUAUCAGCAAUCAAAGGUUAAUAUUAUGAGAUUUUUAUCUGUAUUUUAUACCCCGGGGGAAAUUCUAUGGAUGUUCUCAUAAUUAUUGUUCACAUCUUCCAGUCAUAACAUGAAAUACAAUACAUGCUCACCAUUUCCCAGAGUCUGUGAGGGACAAAUUUCUUGCUGAGGCAAUUAUCUUUCACAGCUGCUGUCCACAAUUUUGUCCAACUCCCAUGGAAACCAGGAACAUUACCUUAAUGUUAGAAGGGACCCCAGAGACAAGCUAGCCCAGCCCUACUGUUUUACAGAUGAGGGAAUAAAUAACUUGUAGAGUUUUCCAUUUUUAAGAUCAUUUUGCUAGGGAGUUUUCUUUUUGCUGGACAUGAGAAAAUGUAACAACAUUUAUGAACAAUAUUUUAUCUCACUUAUAAGCUUACAAAUACAUACAUACAUAGCUGAGAGAAAAAAAUAUUUUAAAAAAUCAAAAGGAAAAUUAUUAUGCAGCCAGGAUCUAGAGAGAGAAAAAGAACCUGAGGUACCAUUUUACCACUUGUCAAUAAUAACAGUUUCUAUUAGGGAAACCAUUUUACACAAUAAUUUUCAAGCAGAGAGCAGAGUGGUGGUGAGCGCACUUGCACUACCCGUGUCUGAAGCAGUACUGGGUGUUAUAGGUAGAAAAGCAUGAAUCAUUUGGUUAUAUCAAAAAUCAUUGAGAGAGAAAAACAAUUUGUUAUCAGGAGCACUCAUUCUUUGGGGACUUUCCAGUGGCAUCUACAGCCGCCUCCUAUUCUGACCAACUCCUACAACUCUGGAACCCAGUUUCCCAUAUUCUGAAUCAUCUUGUGUGCCUCCUGUCCCUGCUGCUGGUAAGAGGGCAUGAAAAGCCAAACCAGAACUGCCAGGCCUGACCCAAGGAUCAGUUCUGAAAAAGCAAAGGACAAACCCAGAUGAGAAAUAGGGUUCUUCAGGAUCUUGUCUUGCUGCUUCAUUCAUAUCAUCACAUUCUAGUGUCCUCUUUCAACCCUGUAUCUUAAUCAGGGCAGACUUGUCACUUAUUCAUAUUUAAUGACUUUCAUGUACUUCUUGUUGCCUGGAAUCUCCUAUGCUUGACCAUUGGCCUGGUCAAUUUCCAAUUCUGAAGAACUUGGUGCAAGUCUACUUCUAUUCCACUUUCCUGAAUACAAUGUCUGAUUUCCAGCUCCUGAUGAAUACAUCCAUUAUAGCUCAUAUCACAGACCUGUUUACCCACUGUUUACUUAUCUGCUUCCCCAGUAGACUCUGAGCUACUGAAGAUAGGGACUUUGUUAUACUCCUUGGUGGCCAGCAGUAUUGGGCAAUGCAAAUUUGCUGAAUGAAUUAAUGAAGACAUAGAGUCACAGGAAGAAGCCAGAGUCAAGUAGUAUAGGAAUGGGGAAAAUUGUACAGUCCAAUAAUUUGGGGUAAUACAAUUAGUGAGGCCUCUUUAUGUAUAGACUUCUCAGAGUCUUUUGUAUGCAAAUGUGCUUGGUAAAUAUACAAAAGAUGAUAUUUACUAAGUACUUAGUAAAGAAGUACUUUCCAACUUAUUUGUCUCUGGAACACUCUCUCUCUCUCUCUCUCUCUGUGUGUGAGAGUGUGUGUGUGUGUGUGUAUGUGUUUGUGUGUGUGUGUUGCUUCUCUCUCCCAGAAAAAUUGCUUAGGAGAUGCAGCUUUCAGGCAUCUUCAUCUAGACCUUUUGCUUUAGGGUAAUACCAUUACCAGAAAGUCAGUAUCUAAGUUAUAAGUACAAUGUGCAGGGUUGUAAGUGCUACAGCAAAUGGUUGAAUUGAAUUUAGCCAGAUGUAAAAGUACUUCAAGUCAUUUUUGAGGCUGAAACCCCUACAAUGAAGAAGUUCUUCCUCUGAAGUUCUGCAAAAUCCAUCUGAACUUUUGACCCAGAAACAUCUUAGACUCUUAAGGAAAUGUUCAUACCAAGUCAACUAGCUUUUACUGUUCUCAUCUAUAGUUAAGUAAAGGGCACCAAAAAACCUCCUAACCAUUACAUUCAUAUAACAUCUUUUGGGUGCUUUGCAUUCAGUGUGGUGAAGGUAAUGAGCAAAAAAAGAAAGACAAGAAAAACAAAAAAAUACUUUUUGAAACCCUGAUAAUAUUUUCACAAAUGAUAUUUAGCAUUGCAAACUAAUGCUUCAGGGUUCUGUAAAUGUGAAGAAUUGAACAGGCAAUAACAGAUAAGCAAUUAUGGCAUGAGAUAAACCAAUACUUUAGUUUAUAGUCAUAAAAUUCUUGCCAAAAAGACACAAAUGUUUUGAUUUCCUCAGAUACUAUAUGAAUAAAUUAGGUUAAAAAGCAAUGUGAUUCAGAAAUUCAUCAAAAAUAAAAAAUAAAAACAUUUACUGGUAACUUGCUAUGUGCCAAUAUUGAAGACGCAAAGAUGCAGAAAAAGAAAAGGAAAAAGAUCUACUCUCAACAAGAUUACUAUCCCUUUACACAAAUGAAUCAUAAUUAAACAGAAAAAUAUCUACAACAGGUGCACUAUCUGGUUUUUAACAGGACAUCCUUAGCACAAAGACUGGCACAUAUAGAUGUUCAAUAAAUGUUGAACGAAUGAGUAACUGAGUGAACAAAUGAAUAAAUAUAGGCAGGAUUUAAGUGGAUGUCUUGACACAUCAAGGUAGGGCUUCAUUAAGGACUGGGGAUUGACAGAUACCAUACAAAUGGUCAUCCCCCAAAAGGCAUGUUAUAGAUGCCUGGAGGAGGGUAAGUGGGAGCUUUCCUAAGUCAGUAGGGUGGCAGGAGAAGAGGAGUGUUUCAAGGAUGUACAAUGACUAGACCUCUCUGAUCUGAGGGGAGUUGGGUUGGGAUACAGCAUUCACACCAGACAGUUACAUUGGAAAAGGCCUAAAGGGUCAUUAAAUGCCAUGUUAUAAAGCCAGAAUUUUAUCUUAAAGAUAAAAGGACACCAAGGAAGGAAGUUUUUGACCUAAGGAAUGAUAGACGGAUGUUCUUUUUAGGCAUAAGUCUGUCUCGUCAUGGAUUACAAGGAAAAAGAAAAUGUGGAUUAGAUGGAUAUUGAAUGAAAAGACCCUUCUCAAAUCUCAAGUCCUUGGAAAUAUAGAUGCAAACCAAUGCUUCAGGGUUCUGUAAAUGUGAAGAAUUGAACAGGCAAUAACAGAUAAGCAAUUAUGGCAUGAGAUAGACCAAUAUUUUAGUUUCUGCUGCUUAACAGCCAUCAGAUUGGGGCAAGUUGCUUAACCUUGGCAAACCUCAAUUUCCUCCAUUGCAAAAUGGGGAUAUUAAUAGCACUACCUCAUAAGGUUGGUGGUGAAGAUUAAAUUAGAUAAUGAUUGUUAACUAUUUACAACAGCGCUGAUCCACAGUAAAUGGUCAAAACAUACCACCUAUUAACACUCGACUUGAAAUUGCAAUUAACAGUUCAUCCACUCAAUAGGUCCUCUUUAAGAAGACCAUGAAUGAAUGAACCAGCUUUAAAGACACUAAUUCCUCAGUCUUCUUGUAAUAUUAAUAUUAUGAAACAAAUUUUUAGGGAAUGUUGUAAAUCAGAGUUAAUAUUUUUGUUGCAUUUGAGUCCCCAUGAUUAUAUUCUGCAGGGAUUUAAUUUUCUGUGAUACUUAAGGCCUGUUUGUGUCUAGCCUGCUUUUCUCUGUCCUAACUCAAUUUCCAUUUAGUGCCAUCCAAGUUAGAAAAAGGCAAUGUCAGCUCCUUCUCAAUGUCCACCUGUAGGGACUUGCCUAAAGUCACACAGCCAAGCACCCAAUAAGACAGCCAGAUCUGGAAUGUAGAUUUUCUCACUCCCAGGUUGGUGUCCACUCACACCCAUGAAAUGGUUUUUUCCACUCCCACUAAAGUGUGCCAACUAGGCAAUAAUACUAAUAUGAGAGCAAGUAUUGAAGCAUCUACUUAAAGAGGUAUAGAAAUGCAUGGGUGUUUACUGGCAUGUGGCAAAUCUAUAGUGUUCACUUUCCAAAUGAGUCAGAUACCCAUUAGAAUGACUUCAUUCAAUUUUUGCAUUAAAUAUAGAAAAUCUUAUACAGCAACCCACAUGCAAAUAUUUAAACUGGUGCUUUUUUAGCUCACAAUGCUUUCCCUGUACCUUGUAAUCAGCCAACCAGAAUCAGUGAAAAAACAAUAUAAAAGACUAACAUUUUUUGUUACCAGUAAUUUCCAAGCUGGGGACAACAUCAUCAGAGGAUCUCAUCCUGACAUCAGUACUUCCCCAGCUGACACAGAAACUCUGCUCUUACAGGGUGGCCCCAUAUUGUCAAGCACAUGACUAAAUAUAGAUCAUAGGCUCAUGCCUCUUGAUCAUCAAACACUGCUCCAAAAUAAUAUUCAAGGAGUUGGUCUGGUUUGGGGGUUAGAAGGUACGUGUGGACUCAUGACUUUGCCACUUCUCAUAAAAAAAUAAGAAUUAUUUCAUGAAUAAGCUGCCAUGUUAUGAAUGCUCCAAUAUCCUGUCAUCAGCACUGAGCACUACAGUUAGCUCAAAGUAUCUAUAGUUUUGCCACCAGCACCAGCCAAAGACACACACAUCACAGUUUUUUACCAUUCCCAUGCCUUCUAUGUUGUUCUAUCUGCCUUGAAAGUCCUACUCCACCCCUUGCCCAUGUGUCACCUUCUACCUCAAAACUCAGCUUAAAGGUCCACUUGGUAAGAACAUCUUGACUGGCCCUUGGAUUCCAAAAUCACUUUUCAUAUGAGCCUUCCAUUCUGGCACUUAAGACAUUGUGUUAUGUGUUGACAAGUCAAUUCCACACCAAGCUGUGGUCCACUUAGAAGUAGGAAUCAUCAAAUUCUCCUUUCUAGAGGCCAAAGGAACUUGGUUGCAGCAGCCAACUUUGGAGCAGCCUCACUCCUUGGGAGCUGGAACAAAGCAGACAGUUAUUCAGAGCAAACACUAUACCGAGAGUAAGCAAAGAAAGCAAAUCAGGGCCACGGAAGGUGCCACAGUCAAAGAGGCACCAUCAGCGUUACUUCCACAGAGGUAAGGUGAAUUCAGUAGUAAAAGGUGAGGACAGAUGACGGAGGCCUGGGGUGAUACAAAGCAAGUAGGAAAGUGAAUAUGAAGCGGAAUAAAGUAGAAAGGCUUAGGACAGAAGUAAAGUGGAGCAGGGGAGAAGAGGGCCAUGUCCAGGGAUCUAAGGCUCUCUGGCGAUUGCUUAGAGGUAAAUGAGAAAGUUGGCCAUUGUAAAGGAGCAGGACUGUUCUAGGGACUGUUCCUUUCUACAUCUCUGCUACCUGGCACACUACCUAAAGCAAAGCAAGUAUUUGAAAACUGUUUACUGAAUAAAUGAGUGAAUUAAUGAAUAAAUCAGUGAAUGAAUCAUAGAGUCUUCUAAGAGUUGACCUACAUAUUCCAAGAAUCUCAGCCUUGCUACUAUAGUAAAUUGGUCAUCUGCUCUUGUAGCAGUUCUCAUAGGCCGAUUGGUUUGCAAGUUAUAUAUCUGUGUGUCUCCUCUGUUAGAUGAUUGCCCCAAGAGAGCAGCCAUAGAGUUCCAGGACAGAGCAGAAUACCAUCUCUUGCACACAAUAAAGUGUUCCAUAAAUGCCUAUGGAGUUACACUGAACAAUAUUGAAUUUAAAUAAUUUGCUUUUCAGUAUAAAUCAGCUUAGUAGUCCGGAAGAAAAGUUUAGAUCAAGAGCAAAUACAGAAACAUUAAAAAUAAUAAAUUGAAUAAGUACAUGAAUUGAUGCUCAACAUCAUUAAUCAUUAGAGAGAUGCAAAUCAACAUCACAAUGAGAUACCACUUCACACCCAUUAGAAUGGCUAAUAUACAUUUUUUAAAACCCCAGAAAAUAGGAAGUAUUGGCAAGAAUGUGGGCAAAUUGGAUCCCUGGACAUUGCUGAUAGAAAUGUAAAAUAGCACAGUUGCUGUGAAAAACACUGUGGCAAUUCCUCAAAAAAUCAAAAGCAGAAUAAUCAUACGAUCCAGCAAUUCAUUUCUAAGUAUAUACCCAGAAGAAGUGAAAACAGGAAUUUGAACAGAUAUUUGUAUACCCAUGUUCAUAGCGGCAUUAUUCACAGUAGCAAAAGGUGGAAGCAACCCAAAUACUAAUCAACAAAUGAAUGAAUAAGAAAAACGUGGUGUACACACACAAAAUAAUAUUAUUCAGCCUUAAAAAGGAAGGAUAUUCUGGCACACACUUCAACUUAAACAAACUUUGAGGUUAUUAUGCUAACCAGAAAAAAAGACAGUCACAAAAGGACAAAUGCUGCAUGAUUCCCCUUAUAUGAGGUACCUAGAGUAGUUAAGUUCGCAGAGACAGGAAGUAGAACGGUGGUAACAGGGGGCUUGGAGCAGGUGGAAAUAGAGAGCUAUUGUUUAAUGAGGAUGGAAUUUUAGUUUUGUGAAAAAAAGUUUUGGAGAUGAUGGUGAUGGUUGCACAACAAUAUAAAUAUAUUUAAUGCCAUUGAACUGUUCACUUAAAAUUGUUAAACGGUAAAUUUUAUGUUAUGUACAUUUUGCAAUAAAAAUAAAUGUUAGUAGCAAAUUUUUUUAAAUUGAUAAAUCAGACUCUAAUUUCCUAGAGGCUUAUCAUUGAGGACCAUCUCCCCUCUUUACCACUUUUAGAAAAAAUGGCUAGUGAUCACCAAAAUACAUACAACACACACACACAUAAAUAUGUGCAAACCACAAUUGCACACACACACAUAUUCUUAUAAUAAAGCUUUCUGUAAUAAGCCAAAAUGGAGGCUCUAAUAAUAGAAGCCAGAAUAUCUUACCUCUAAGACUUCUCAGCUAAUUAGCUUCCAGUUGGGCAGGUAGUGUUCUUUCAUCCUCCAGAAUCUCCCACACGUUUGAGAACUAAGGACUCAAAGAGCAGAAGUAGGCUUAACUGUAAGGUCCAACAGGGCCAUGAAUGUUGAGUCUCUUCCUAGUCUCAUAGAAAAAAGAGGCGUUUCCUUUCUUCUCCUACAAGAGACUCCCCUUCAGUACAACUCACUCAUAGGCAGACAGAAGGUAGAGAAAGUUCUUAAAGUCACCUGCCCACACAGGAUAUUGAUGGAUACCACACAUAAGACCACAUCAUUGUAGCAAUGAGACAUGGGCUCUGCUCUGGGCAAUCCUGGAUAGUAGACCCAAAUCCCAGAUUCACAUCGACCCAAGAAUUCAGAGAAGGUCUGUGCUUAUCAUUGGCUUAUUAAACAAAUAAACCACUGCACAGGCUGGAAAGAAGGUUCCCUUAGUUCCUGCUCACUCUCAGAGGUGUUUCCCCUCCUCCCCACUUACCUUGUCACCCAUCACACAAGGUCCAAUUCCAGUUCCACCUUGUCAUGAAUCCUUCUCCUAAUCACUUAAGUUCUUAGAAGUUUUAUUUUUCCCUCUCCUGACCCCUAAAUAAUACAUUUUGGGUAUUCUUCAGAAUGAAGAUUUAUGUAAUAGAGUUUCUUUGGAGCUUUUAUUGAGUUCUUGCUCUGUGCUCCGUUUUAUCCUCAAUUAGGAUGUGAGCCCCCAAUUGAAGCUCACUGCCCUGUCUUCUUGCCCACUUGACACCCCCUGAAUUAUAGUAUAUUCCCAGGAAUUAGUUAAGAGGUUGAAAUAUUUCAACAACAGCUUUAUUAGGUAAAAAUACAGCCUUUUACAAAAACAUCCCUUUUUAGUAGAUCUUGGAACACAGUUAAUUCUCAAUAAAUGUCCAUGAAAUGGCCAUCUUAGGACAGCAAGAAGUACCCCCUCUGAAUGUCAUUUUUGUGCCUAUCAACCUACUGGGAGGAAAGACAAGAAUCCUUAUGAACCAGCCUCUUCUCUGGAGCAGACUCACAGACUCCUCCAAGGAUCAGAAUUGCAGGAAAUGUGUACAUUUCAGCCCAAUUUCCUUUUCCAGAAAGAAAAAGUGAAGUCCAAGGAAGGAGAGUGAUUUGUCCAAGAUCAUCAAUGAGUUGUGGGCAGUUCUAAGACUAGUACCUAAGUCUUGACCAUGAAUAGGCUCUCUUGAAACACCCAGAACAGGGCUUGGCACCUGGAGAGAAGAAUGAAGGCAAGAAUGGGGAAAGAAGAUUUACCAAUGCGAUGAAAUCAGGAACAGGUUAUAUCACUUGAUCAUGAAAUGUUGAACCUGGAAGACAUGCUAUGAAAGGAGGACUCACCUUUCCUGCACACCAUGCAUGCAUCUCACAGAGAACAUAAGUUCCCACCCUUCCACAAUUCUCAUUCUGCAGAUGACAAAUUAACCUGGCCAGUCAUUGCCAGGAUUUGAAUCAAAACCUCCUGACUCCAGUCAAGGCUCCUUCUGAUAGAAAAAUAUAUCUAUAAAAUAUAAAUAAGUGUAUAUAUGCAAAUAUUUAAAUUAAGAACUCAGAAGAGUUAUAGGAAAUAGGAAGGAAAAAGAAUGUAAGGGCAUAUUUAUGAGCCCCAGUUAAAUAUAUACAACCUCCAGUCAAAUACUACUAUUUAUUAUUUUUAUUUAUUAUAAAUAAUAAUAUUUAUGAAUGGGAUGAAUAUCUUCAGGCACUGAAAGAGAAUGAAUCCACAAAGAAAAGAGAAGUAACUUAUCCAGUCCAGAAAGCACCUCAUCACCCCAGACAAACCCUCAGAGAGGCAUUUAGCAACAACUUGUGGGAUAAGGGUUUCCAUUGUCUAAUUUAUGAUGUCAUUCAUCAUUCUGUUGAAUUGUAUGUUCAGAGAAAUAUGGCAAGUCCUAUUUCUCUUUCCCAAAUCUCUGAGUUUUUACUUUCUACCCAACCAAAGCCCUGUACUAGAAGUCAGAAAUUGUCAACUGACUUUAUUGAAAUUUCAGCCCCAAAAACUGUACCCUCAAAUGCUAUGAUUUAAAUAUGGACUGCCAAUGCCUCUAGAGAACUUAGUGCAUUGACAACAUGGGGGAGGAGCUUUGUGUCUUAUCCAUAGGAAUUCCCUACUGAAAGGCAAUGCCUUCUUUCAGGUUAACCAUUUAUUUUAUCCUCUGCAAUAGGACCCUGCAUUCUAGCCAGGAUCUCAAUGUGCUUCACAAAUGUUACCUACAGGCCAGUAUUAGCUUUAUCUUUUUUCAGAAUUGUUUCUAGUAUUAGAUGACUAAUACGAUUUUAGUGCAACAUUCAGGGUUUACAUUUCAACAGAACUAACAGGCCAGAACUGUGGCGAUAUUUUCUUUCUCUGCUUCAUGAAGGCAUUAGUUGUCUGGCUGGGAAAGUGUAGGAGGGGCCAAAAAAAACCUCAGAACCCCUUGAUCUCACCAUCCGGUACCUUCUCCCCUGCAUUGGCAUUGACUAAUUCUAAGAUCUGAAAGAUAACUGCCUUUUGGUCGUAAGAAAACUUUGGUUCCCUGAAGGCCAACUCAUAAACCUCAGACACAUAAUUUAAAUGAAUUUCAGGUUUUAAUCUUACUUGUAUUAACAAGUAAUAAAAACAUUACUCAAGGUAUCAUUAGUUGCUAUUAUAAACAAAUUUCAAAAAUGUGUAAUGCCCCAAACACUAUAGAAAUUUCCACCUAUAUAAAAUCCAAAAUGGGUGGUGUUCAUCAGCAAGUGGAUGUAUUCCUGAUUCCAAGAAACGGAGUCUUCCCUCUUGUGGCUCCGUCAUCUUCAACAUGGAGCUCCAAAAAUGGCUUGUCCAUGUCAGCCCCAAAAUGAUAGGAAAGACGAUUGAAGAGACCAUGAGAGAUAUUUAAGCACCAAACCAGAAAGUAGAACAUUUCUGAUCAAAUUUUUUUAAGUAAAGUUUUUUUUUAAUUGAAGCAUAACACACACACACACACACACACAGAGAGAGAGAGAGAGAGAGCUUGAAAAAAAUUGCAGCUCAAAGAAUUUUCGCAAGCUGAGAACACCCAUGUGACCAGCAUGAAGAUGAAGAAAUAAAAUAUCAGCAUCCCAGAAACCUCCCUUUUCCUCCUACUCUGUUCACCUCUCACAAAGGUAACCACUGUCCUGGCUUUUACCACCAUAGAACAAUUUUGCCUACAAGUUGAAUAAUACAAUGUAAACACUUCUAUUUCUGCUUUAUUUCUCACAACAUUGUGUUUGUAAUAUUUAUUCCUAUUGUCACAUGUAGUUGAAGAUCAUUAAUUCUCCUUGUGAUAGUAUUUCAUUUUGUGAAUAUAACUACAUUUUAUUUAUCCAUUCUACUGUCUGAUGUGUAUUAAAGUUGUUUCUAG